rnacentral:rRNA from 1 species
UACGUAGGGGGCAAGCGUUGUCCGGAUUUAUUGGGCGUAAAGAGCGUGUAGGCGGCCAUGUAGGUCCGUUGUGAAAACUCGAGGCUCAACCUCGAGACGCCGAUGGAAACCAUGUGGCUAGAGUCCGGAAGAGGAGAGUGGAAUUCCGUGGUGUAGCGGUGAAAUGCGCAGAUAUCAGGAAGAACACCCGUGGCUAAGGCGGCUAUCUGGACGGUUUCUGACGCUAAGACGCGAAAGCGUGGGGAGCAAACAGG